rnacentral:tRNA from 1 species
UAAGGUGGCUGAGAAAGCGGUGGUUUGUAGAGCCAAGCAUAAAGGUAUAACCCUUUUCUUAC